rnacentral:rRNA from 1 species
ACCGUGCAAAGGUAGCAUAAUCACUUGUUCUUUAAAUGGGGACUAGUAUCAACGGCAUCACGAGGGUUACACUGUCUCCUUUUUCUAAUCAGUAAAACUAAUCUCCCCGUGAAGAAGCGGGGAUACACUUAUAAGACGAGAAGACCCCAUGGAGCUUCAAACCCAACUUCACCCCUAAUUCUUAUAACCACUAAACCCUUAGGGCCCUACAUCGUUGGUUUUAGGUUGGGGCGACCACGGAGUAUAACAAAACCUCCGCAAUGAACGGGACUCUUCCCUUAUCUAAGAGAUACACCUCUAAGAAUUAAAAUAUUAACAUAAAAUGAUCCAUCUUUGAUCAAUGAACUAAGUUACCCUGGGGAUAACAGCGCAAUCCACUUCAAGAGCCCCUAUCGACAAGUGGGUUUACGACCUCGAUGUUGGAUCAGGGUAUCCCAGUGGUGCAGCAGCUACUAAUGGUUCGUUUGUUCAACGAUUAAAACCCU